rnacentral:rRNA from 1 species
GAUGAACGCUGGUGGCGUGCCUAAUACAUGCAAGUCGAGCGAACAGAUGAGGAGCUUGCUCCUCUGACGUUAGCGGCGGACGGGUGAGUAACACGUGGAUAACCUACCUAUAAGACUGGGAUAACUUCGGGAAACCGGAGCUAAUACCGGAUAAUAUAUUGAACCGCAUGGUUCAAUAGUGAAAGACGGUUUUGCUGUCACUUAUAGAUGGAUCCGCGCCGCAUUAGCUAGUUGGUAAGGUAACGGCUUACCAAGGCAACGAUGCGUAGCCGACCGGAGAGGGUGAUCGGCCACACUGGAACUGAGACACGGUCCAGACUCCUACGGGAGGCAGCAGUAGGGAAUCUUCCGCAAUGGGCGAAAGCCUGACGGAGCAACGCCGCGUGAGUGAUGAAGGUCUUCGGAUCGUAAAACUCUGUUAUUAGGGAAGAACAAAUGUGUAAGUAACUAUGCACGUCUUGACGGUACCUAAUCAGAAAGCCACGGCUAACUACGUG